rnacentral:rRNA from 1 species
ACUAACAAGGAUUCCCCUAGUAACUGCGAGUGAAGCGGGAAAAGCUCAAAUUUAAAAUCUGGCGGUCUUUGGCCGUCCGAGUUGUAGUCUGGAGAAGCGUCUUCCGCGCUGGACCGUGUAUAAGUCUCUUGGAACAGAGCGUCAUAGAGGGUGAGAAUCCCGUCUUUGACACGGACUACCAGUGCUUUGUGAUGCGCUCUCAAAGAGUCGAGUUGUUUGGGAAUGCAGCUCAAAAUGGGUGGUGAAUUCCAUCUAAAGCUAAAUAUUGGCGAGAGACCGAUAGCGAACAAGUACCGUGAGGGAAAGAUGAAAAGCACUUUGGAAAGAGAGUUAAACAGUACGUGAAAUUGCUGAAAGGGAAACGCUUGAAGUCAGUCGCGUUGUCCGGGACUCAGCCUUGCUUCGGCUUGGUGCACUUUCCGGAUGACGGGCCAGCAUCGAUUUUGACCGCUGGAAAAGGGCUGGAGGAAUUGGCACCUUCGGGUGUGUUAUAGCCUUCAGUCGCAUACGGCGGUUGGGAUCGAGGAACGCAGCACGCCUUUUGGCGGGGGGUUUACCCUACCUUCGUGCUUAGGAUGCUGGCAUAAUGGCUUUAAACGACCCGUCUUGAAACACGGACC